UGUUCCUACGGGGGGCAGCAGUGGGGAAUAUUGGGCAAUGGGCGCAAGCCUGACCCAGCAACGCCGCGUGAAGGAAGAAGGCUUUCGGGUUGUAAACUUCUUUUCUGGGGGACGAACAAAUGACGGUACCCCAGGAAUAAGCCACGGCUAACUACGUGCCAGCAGCCGCGGUAAUACGUAGGUGGCAAGCGUUAUCCGGAUUUAUUGGGUGUAAAGGGCGUGUAGGCGGGAAUGCAAGUCAGAUGUGAAAACUAUGGGCUCAACCCAUAGCCUGCAUUUGAAACUGUAUUUCUU
rnacentral:rRNA from 1 species